rnacentral:rRNA from 1 species
CGUGAGAUGUUGGGUUAAGUCCCGGCAACGAGCGCAACCCUCGUCCUUAGUUGCCAGCAUUCAUUGGGCACUCUAAGGAGACUGCCGGUGUUAAACCGGAGGAAGGCGGGGAGUGACGUCAAGUCCUCAUGGCCCUUAUGUCCAGGGCUACACACGUGCUACAAUGGCCGGUACAAAGGGUAGCAAGACCGCGAGGUGGAGCCAAUCCCAAAAAGCCGGUCUCAGUUCGGAUUGGAGUCUGCAACUCGACUCCAUGAAGUUGGAAUCGCUAGUAAUCGUGGAUCAGCAUGCCACGGUGAAUACGUUCCCGGGCCUU